GACCGCGUAGCUCAGUUGGCAGAGCAUUGGACUAGUAUCCCAAAGGUCGUAGGUUCGAUUCCAACCGUGGCCA
rnacentral:tRNA from 1 species